rnacentral:rRNA from 1 species
CACGUAGGGGGCAAGCGUUGUCCGGAUUUAUUGGGCGUAAAGAGCUCGUAGGUGGUUCGGUAAGUCGGGUGUUAAACCCCCAGGCUCAACCUGGGGACGCCACUCGAUACUGCUGUGACUAGAGUCCGGUAGGGGAGCGUGGAAUUCCCGGUGUAGUGGUGAAAUGCGUAGAUAUCGGGAGGAACACCGGUGGCGAAGGCGGCGACCUGGGUCGAGACUGACGCUGAGGCGCGAAAGCGUGGGGAGCAAACAGG